rnacentral:rRNA from 1 species
GACGAACGCUGGCGGCGUGCUUAACACAUGCAAGUCGAACGUGAUCCGUGCCAUGAAGUCUUCGGAUGGAAUGGUAUGGUGAAAGUGGCGGACGGGCGAGUAACGCGUGAGCAACCUGCCCUAUGCAGGGGGAUAACACUGGGAAACCGGUGCUAAUACCGCAUAAGACCACACCAACGCAUGUUGGAGUGGUAAAAGCUGAGGCGGCAUAGGAUGGGCUCGCGUCCAAUUAGCUAGUUGGUAGGGUAACGGCCUACCAAGGCGACGAUUGGUAGCCGAACUGAGAGGUUGGUCGGCCGCAUUGGGACUGAGACACGGCCCAGACUCCUACGGGAGGCAGCAGUGGGGAAUAUUGCGCAAUGGGGGAAACCCUGACGCAGCGACGCCGCGUGAAGGAAGAAGGCCUUCGGGUUGUAAACUUCUUUGAUCGGGGACGAAGAUGACGGUACCCGAGGAACAAGCCACGGCUAACUACGUG